rnacentral:lncRNA from 1 species
CCGGUUAGAACGAUCCCUAUUUGCUCAUAUACUACAAUUGUCAUCCAUAGGGUUUAAUUUGUGUGUCAACAUAAUUUUCACAUCACAGACGUGGAUAGCAUAUGGGCUGGACCUUUUUGGUGUUUAAAAGGUGUUAGACAUGUGCUAAAAUCUAGAGAAAUUAAAGUUGAGGCUUAGAAGGCAAGGAAUUACACAAGAAAGACGAAUCCUAGUUGGAGAGAAACAUUAUCUUAUCCUAUCUUAUCUUUUCCUAUCUUAUCCAACAUUAUCUUAUCUUAUCUCCAGCUGAAAGGAGGAAUCCUAAUCACAUUCCAACACUUUCUACCUAAUUCUUAGAGUCCUAAAAUAAUUCAAAAUGCCUAAUCCCUUUCCUCAUUGGAUUCAGUUGUUUCCCCUUAUAUAUAUGAAAUUCCUGCAAUAAUUUAAGGUGUGCCACACCUACCAUUCAUCCAUUGAAGCUGCUGGAAUUUUUAAAGUUCUUUCUAUCUUGGUUUUAAGUUUCAAUGUUUAUAUCAUAACUUGUCCCGAAACAUUUAGUUUCGACGGUGUGAAAUGAUGAUUUUACCCUUGGAUGUCGAGAUUGUGAUGUGUGUGACAUGUGUUUGGGAUGUAGACUAAUAUGUUGAAUUCCUAAGUUUUGGACUCAAGUAAAAAUUAUACUUUUGGGUUGUUUUGGUGGAUGACCAAGUGAGGACACACACACACACACACAAAAAGCACCCAUUUUUCUCUCUCUCUCCUUCUCUCGGGCUUCCUACCAUUUCCAUACAAAACGUACGGAAGAACACCAAACUCACAUUUCAUGCACGGAUCGACGCUAGAAGGUAAGAUUUGAACUCUUUGCAAGUCCCUGAGUUCAUAUAUGCCAUUUUAAACCGUGAAACCCUAAAAAACCCGAGAAACCAUCACCCCUGAUUUGAGUACUGUUCAUGUGGUCGUAAUUAUGGAUGUUUCAGGGGAUUUUAACCUCAUAUGAAGCUUUAGGAUGUUCGUACGAAGCUCGGAGAAGAAAAACCAAGCAAAUUGAACAUCGGGAAGUCGAGUUUGGAGAAAUUUGGCUGGAAUUAUCAAGCUUUUUCUGACAAGUUUUCAUGGAUUUCAAGCCUUGAAAUUGGUAACGAUGUGUUCUUCUAGUUAUGAGCUUUGAAUUGAGACCAAUUUCAUGAGUUUUGGUUAAGAAACG